rnacentral:piRNA from 1 species
UGCUGGGCCAGGAACUUCCUUUUCUGUU